rnacentral:rRNA from 1 species
GUUGUUGCGGCAGCAUUCCAAUACGGACCAAUGGAACAAUACUUGUUCGGCGGAAUAAUCGUACGACGCUACAUCCGUCGGAUUAUUAUGCCUGAACGCCUCUAAGGUCGUAUCCGAGCUGGACUACAAUGAU